GACGAACGCUGGCGGCGUGCCUAAUACAUGCAAGUCGGGCGGACCGAACGAGGGCUUGCUCUUGUUUGGUCAGCGGCGGACGGGUGAGUAACACGUGGGCAACCUGCCCGCAAGACCGGGAUAACUCCGGGAAACCGGAGCUAAUACCGGAUAACACCGAAGACCGCAUGGUCUUCGGUUGAAAGGCGGCCUUUGGGCUGUCACUUGCGGAUGGGCCCGCGGCGCAUUAGCUAGUUGGUGAGGUAACGGCUCACCAAGGCGACGAUGCGUAGCCGGCCUGAGAGGGUGACCGGCCACACUGGGACUGAGACACGGCCCAGACUCCUACGGGAGGCAGCAGUAGGGAAUCUUCCGCAAUGGGCGAAAGCCUGACGGAGCGACGCCGCGUGAGCGAAGAAGGCCUUCGGGUCGUAAAGCUCUGUUGUGAGGGACGAAGGAGCGCCGUUCGAAGAGGGCGGCGCAGUGACGGUGCCUCACGAGAAAGCCCCGGCUAACUACGUG
rnacentral:rRNA from 1 species